AUACGAAAGGUGCAAGCGUUGUUCGGAUUUACUGGGCGUAAAGAGAGUGUAGGUGGUUUAUUAAGUCGGAUGUGAAAUCCCUGGGCUCAACCUCGGAACUGCAUUCGAUACUGAUAGGCUAGAGUUUGGGAGGGGUAAGCGGAAUUCCGUGUGUAGCAGUGAAAUGCGUAGAUAUACGGAGGAACACCUGAGGCGAAGGCGGCUUACUGGACCAAUACUGACACUGAGACUCGAAAGCGUGGGUAGCAAACAGGAUUAGAAACCCUAGUAGUCC
rnacentral:rRNA from 1 species